GUUGUGUGUGUAUCUCUGUAGUUAAGUGUGUGUGUGUGUGUGUGUGUGUAUAUAUAUAUAUAUAUGUGUGUGUGUGUGUGUACACACACACACACACACUUAACUACAGAGAUACACA